UUAAGCGACUAAGCGUACACGGUGGAUGCCCUGGCAGUCAGAGGCGAUGAAGGGCGUGCUAAUCUGCGAUAAGCGCCGGUAAGGUGAUAUGAACCGUUAUAACCGGCGAUACCCGAAUGGGGAAACCCAGUGUGACUCGUCACACUAUCAUUAACUGAAUCCAUAGGUUAAUGAGGCGAACCGGGGGAACUGAAACAUCUAAGUACCCCGAGGAAAAGAAAUCAACCGAGAUUCCCCCAGUAGCGGCGAGCGAACGGGGAGGAGCCCAGAGCCUGAAUCAGCAUGUGUGUUAGUGGAAGCGUCUGGAAAGGUGCGCGAUACAGGGUGACAGCCCCGUACACAAAAGCGCAUGUGCUGUGAGCUCGAUGAGUAGGGCGGGACACGUGGUAUCCUGUCUGAAUAUGGGGGGACCAUCCUCCAAGGCUAAAUACUCCUGACUGACCGAUAGUGAACCAGUACCGUGAGGGAAAGGCGAAAAGAACCCCGGCGAGGGGAGUGAAAAAGAACCUGAAACCGUGUACGUACAAGCAGUGGGAGCACCCUUCGGGGUGUGACUGCGUACCUUUUGUAUAAUGGGUCAGCGACUUAUAUUCUGUAGCAAGGUUAACCGUAUAGGGGAGCCGGAGGGAAACCGAGUCUUAACCGGGCGUUAAGUUGCAGGGUAUAGACCCGAAACCCGGUGAUCUAGCCAUGGGCAGGUUGAAGGUUGGGUAACACUAACUGGAGGACCGAACCGACUAAUGUUGAAAAAUUAGCGGAUGACCUGUGGCUGGGGGUGAAAGGCCAAUCAAACCGGGAGAUAGCUGGUUCUCCCCGAAAGCUAUUUAGGUAGCGCCUCGUGAAUUCAUCUCCGGGGGUAGAGCACUGUUUCGGCUAGGGGGCCAUCCCGGCUUACCAACCCGAUGCAAACUGCGAAUACCGGAGAAUGUUAUCACGGGAGACACACGGCGGGUGCUAACGUCCGUCGUGAAGAGGGAAACAACCCAGACCGCCAGCUAAGGUCCCAAAGUCAUGGUUAAGUGGGAAACGAUGUGGGAAGGCCCAGACAGCCAGGAUGUUGGCUUAGAAGCAGCCAUCAUUUAAAGAAAGCGUAAUAGCUCACUGGUCGAGUCGGCCUGCGCGGAAGAUGUAACGGGGCUAAACCAUGCACCGAAGCUGCGGCAGCGAACGUAUCACCCAAGACAACUUUACGGAGUUGACGAUUGACGGAGCGAAGCGACGUCAAAGCGUUCAUUAAAGUCGAGUUGGCUUAGGGAUACGUUCGUUGGGUAGGGGAGCGUUCUGUAAGCCUGUGAAGGUGUGUCGUGAGGCAUGCUGGAGGUAUCAGAAGUGCGAAUGCUGACAUAAGUAACGAUAAAGCGGGUGAAAAGCCCGCUCGCCGGAAGACCAAGGGUUCCUGUCCAACGUUAAUCGGGGCAGGGUGAGUCGACCCCUAAGGCGAGGCCGAAAGGCGUAGUCGAUGGGAAACGGGUUAAUAUUCCCGUACUUGGUGUUACUGCGAAGGGGGGACGGAGAAGGCUAUGUUGGCCGGGCGACGGUUGUCCCGGUUUAAGCGUGUAGGUGUGUGUUCCAGGUAAAUCCGGUUCACUUUAACACUGAGGCGUGACGACGAGGCACUACGGUGCUGAAGCAACAAAUGCCCUGCUUCCAGGAAAAGCCUCUAAGCAUCAGGUAACACGAAAUCGUACCCCAAACCGACACAGGUGGUCAGGUAGAGAAUACCAAGGCGCUUGAGAGAACUCGGGUGAAGGAACUAGGCAAAAUGGUGCCGUAACUUCGGGAGAAGGCACGCUGACACGUAGGUGAAGUGAUUUACUCAUGGAGCUGAAGUCAGUCGAAGAUACCAGCUGGCUGCAACUGUUUAUUAAAAACACAGCACUGUGCAAACACGAAAGUGGACGUAUACGGUGUGACGCCUGCCCGGUGCCGGAAGGUUAAUUGAUGGGGUCAGCGCAAGCGAAGCUCCUGAUCGAAGCCCCGGUAAACGGCGGCCGUAACUAUAACGGUCCUAAGGUAGCGAAAUUCCUUGUCGGGUAAGUUCCGACCUGCACGAAUGGCGUAAUGAUGGCCAGGCUGUCUCCACCCGAGACUCAGUGAAAUUGAACUCGCUGUGAAGAUGCAGUGUACCCGCGGCAAGACGGAAAGACCCCGUGAACCUUUACUAUAGCUUGACACUGAACAUUGAGCCUUGAUGUGUAGGAUAGGUGGGAGGCUUUGAAGUGUGGACGCCAGUCUGCAUGGAGCCGACCUUGAAAUACCACCCUUUAAUGUUUGAUGUUCUAACGUGGACCCGUAAUCCGGGUUGCGGACAGUGUCUGGUGGGUAGUUUGACUGGGGCGGUCUCCUCCUAAAGAGUAACGGAGGAGCACGAAGGUUGGCUAAUCCUGGUCGGACAUCAGGAGGUUAGUGCAAUGGCAUAAGCCAGCUUGACUGCGAGCGUGACGGCGCGAGCAGGUGCGAAAGCAGGUCAUAGUGAUCCGGUGGUUCUGAAUGGAAGGGCCAUCGCUCAACGGAUAAAAGGUACUCCGGGGAUAACAGGCUGAUACCGCCCAAGAGUUCAUAUCGACGGCGGUGUUUGGCACCUCGAUGUCGGCUCAUCACAUCCUGGGGCUGAAGUAGGUCCCAAGGGUAUGGCUGUUCGCCAUUUAAAGUGGUACGCGAGCUGGGUUUAGAACGUCGUGAGACAGUUCGGUCCCUAUCUGCCGUGGGCGCUGGAGAACUGAGGGGGGCUGCUCCUAGUACGAGAGGACCGGAGUGGACGCAUCACUGGUGUUCGGGUUGUCAUGCCAAUGGCACUGCCCGGUAGCUAAAUGCGGAAGAGAUAAGUGCUGAAAGCAUCUAAGCACGAAACUUGCCCCGAGAUGAGUUCUCCCUGAGACUUAGAGUCUCCUGAAGGAACGUUGAAGACGACGACGUUGAUAGGCCGGGUGUGUAAGCGCAGCGAUGCGUUGAGCUAACCGGUACUAAUGAACCGUGAGGCUUAACCUU
rnacentral:rRNA from 1 species